rnacentral:rRNA from 1 species
AAUGGGCGCAAGCCUGAUCCAGCCAUACCGCGUGUGUGAAGAAGGCCUUCGGGUUGUAAAGCACUUUAAGUAAGGAAGAAAAGAGUAUUGUUAAUACCAAUACUCCGUGACAUUACUUACAGAAUAAGGACCGGCUAAUUCCGUGCCAGCAGCCGCGGUAAUACGGAAGGUCCAAGCGUUAAUCGGAAUUACUGGGCGUAAAGCGCGCGUAGGUGGUUUAUUAAGUUGGGUGUGAAAGCCCCGGGCUCAACCUGGGAACUGCAUCCAAAACUGAUUCACUAGAGUACGAAAGAGGAAAGUAGAAUUCACAGUGUAGCGGUGGAAUGCGUAGAUAUUGUGAAGAAUACCGAUGGCGAAGGCAGCUUUCUGGUUCUGUACUGACACUGAGGUGCGAAAGCGUGGGUAGCGAACAGGAUU